GAAGAGAAAAAUUCAGAAAAGGGAUUUGAAAAAUUAUUUAUAUAGAAAGACUGAAAAAUAAUAUUUUUUAUGGGUGGAAGCCAGGAAAGCAAAACCAAACUCGAAAA